rnacentral:rRNA from 1 species
AUUGAACGCUGGCGGCAUGCUUUACACAUGCAAGUCGGACGGCAGCACAGAGAAGCUUGCUUCUUGGGUGGCGAGUGGCGAACGGGUGAGUAAUAUAUCGGAACGUACCGAGUAAUGGGGGAUAACUAAUCGAAAGAUUAGCUAAUACCGCAUAUUCUCUGAGGAGGAAAGCAGGGGACCUUCGGGCCUUGCGUUAUUCGAGUGGCCGAUAUCUGAUUAGCCAGUUGGUGGGGUAAAGGCCUACCAAGGCGACGAUCAGUAGCGGGUCUGAGAGGUGGAUCCGCCAACCUGGAACUGAGACACGGCCCAGACUCCUACGGGAGGCAGCAGUGGGGAAUUUUGGACAAUGGGCGCAAGCCUGAUCCAGCCAUGCCGCGUGUCUGAAGAAGGCCUUCGGGUUGUAAAGGACUUUUGUCAGGGAAGAAAAGGCUGUUGCUAAUAUCGAUAGAUGAUGACGGUACCUAAAGAAUAAGCACCGGCUAACUACGUG